AGUAAUCCCAUUUCAUAAUCUUGCAUAGAAUGCCUUGAGACAAUGAACUCGUAGUGAGCAAAGGCGGAAUUGAUUCUAACUUGAAUACUAUUGAGAAAUCAAUCUCUUCCUUCAUACUACAAGAACAAGAAUGCAUGAGAUUCUCUUCUUUUCUCUCUCCAUAUCUAUGAGAACAACCUGCCUAGAAUCUCUUAACAGUGCCUCCAGAUUUCUCUACAAGGAUCUUUUUCACCUCCCAAGUAUUGGAUCUUUGAUCUUUCUACUGUUUUCAACUC
rnacentral:misc_RNA from 1 species